GAUGAACGCUGGCGGCGUGCCUAAUACAUGCAAGUCGAGCGAAUGGAUUAAGAGCUUGCUCUUAUGAAGUUAGCGGCGGACGGGUGAGUAACACGUGGGUAACCUGCCCAUAAGACUGGGAUAACUCCGGGAAACCGGGGCUAAUACCGGAUAACAUUUUGAACCGCAUGGUUCGAAAUUGAAAGGCGGCUUCGGCUGUCACUUAUGGAUGGACCCGCGUCGCAUUAGCUAGUUGGUGAGGUAACGGCUCACCAAGGCAACGAUGCGUAGCCGGCCUGAGAGGGUGAUCGGCCACACUGGGACUGAGACACGGCCCAGACUCCUACGGGAGGCAGCAGUAGGGAGUCUGCCGCAAUGGACGAAAGUCUGACGGAGCAACGCCGCGUGAGUGAUGAAGGCUUUCGGGUCGUAAAACUCUGUUGUUAGGGAAGAACAAGUGCUAGUUGAAUAAGCUGGCACCUUGACGGUACCUAACCAGAAAGCCACGGCUAACUACGUGCCAGCAGCCGCAGUAA
rnacentral:rRNA from 1 species